AGAGUUGAUCAUGGCUCAGGACGAACGCUGGCGGCGUGCUAACACAUGCAAGUCGAGCGAUGAAGUCCCUUCGGGGACGGAUUAGCGGCGGACGGGUGAGUAACACGUGGGUAACCUGCCUCAUAGAGGGGAAUAGCCUUCCGAAAGGAAGAUUAAUACCGCAUAAGAUUGUAGUUUCGCAUGAAACAGCAAUUAAAGGAGUAAUCCGCUAUGAGAUGGACCCGCGUCGCAUUAGCUAGUGGUUUGAGGUAACGGCUCACCAAGGCGACGAUACGUAGCCGACCUGAGAGGGUGAUCGGCCACAUUGGGACUGAGACACGGCCCAGACUCCUACGGGAGGCAGCAGUGGGGAAUAUUGCACAAUGGGGGAAACCCUGAUGCAGCAAACCGCCGCGUGAGUGAUGACGGUCUUCGGAUUGUAAAGCUCUGUCUUCAGGGACGAUAAUGACGGUACCUGAGGAGGAAGCCACGGCUAACUACGUGCCAGCCGCAGC
rnacentral:rRNA from 1 species